rnacentral:rRNA from 1 species
UACGAAGGGGGCUAGCGUUGCUCGGAAUCACUGGGCGUAAAGCGCACGUAGGCGGAUUGUUAAGUCAGGGGUGAAAUCCUGGAGCUCAACUCCAGAACUGCCUUUGAUACUGGCGAUCUCGAGUCCGGGAGAGGUGAGUGGAACUGCGAGUGUAGAGGUGAAAUUCGUAGAUAUUCGCAAAGACACCAGUGGCGAAGGCGGCUCACUGGCCCGGUACUGACGCUGAGGCACGAAAGCGUGGGGAGCAAACAGG